GUGUUAGCCCGCGCGAGGAGAUGCUGGCGAGGGUCAGUGUGCCUGCUGCCCUGUGUGUCAGUGUGACCUGCUGCCGUGUUGGAGGGAGGUGCUGAAGAGGCGAGGCUUAGUUUUACCGCUACCUUGUGAUGCUGUGACCCGCUAUCCUAUAUCAUGGGCUGCCGUGUUGGACGAGGAGAUGCUGGUGAUUACUCAACAAUGACGAGGCGGAGGACGAGAAACCACCGGGAUGACCCACUGACGACUUAGCCUAGAAAAGAGCUCCUCGCCAGGCCGCCAACCCAUGAAUGUUUGACGAGGCCUUCAGCGAGAGGAGGAGUGUGUGGUGUCGGGAGCACACACGGGACAGCGGACAACCCAACCCACGGCACGAUGCAGCUGCCGGUCACACAUCAGGAGCUCUCGACUGUCGGGAAGAAAUGGAAAUGAAAACACGUUAACUAUGCAUAGAAUCUUUGAUUACUUUGG